rnacentral:lncRNA from 1 species
GACGACAAAAAAGCAACCCUGGUUUUCCGAUUUGUCAAUCUAUCACCCGACCCGGCUGCCGUUUGAUUUCCUCCAGGCUCCGUCCUCUCCGGCGACAGCAGCUGCAGAAGUUCGAUUCCCUCCGCCCUGCGGCCUCUCCAGUGACAGUCAACAGCAGCUUCACGCCUUCAUCAGUUCUCCUCCUCCUAUUCUCUUUCCCAAGCUCCCCGCCGAUUCACCUCUCUCUUCGUCUUCAACACGGUAUAACUUAAUUCACUUCUUCCUUAUCCCACUUUACAGCUAACAGUUUCGAUUCACUUCUAUCCGCAUCUUUCAGUUGAUUAGUUUGCUCAAUUGAUAUUGACUAUGUUUCAGUCUUUAGCUCGAGGCUUACUAAACGACGCCCUGGUUUUCGAAUUAAACGACGUCCUACAUUCAUAAUGAUCUAAACGUCCAUUCCGUAAAAAUGAAAAACAUGAAAAACUUACUAGUUCAAUCCAAAAAACCCUUAUUUAGUAAGUUUUAGUUGGUCGAAAACACUCUCCACGAACCACGGCUCAAAAUUGAAAAGGUACGAAAUUGAAUUUUGGAUCUGAAAAAAAAACAAUUCGGACUGACCAACCGGACAGACAGGCGUUCCAUCCGGUCAGACCAUCUGGACUGAAAUCGGUUCUGUCUGAGUGGUCUGACCGGAUGGAAAGUCGGUCCGUCCGGUUGGUCCGUCCAAUUUUUUACGGUACUACAUUGGAAGCAUUGCAAACUAGCAACCCUGCGUUGUUAGCCUCAAACCAGCGCUUGGAACAUAUGUUCUAGAGGUUCAUAGAAAGGAAUCGGGAGGACCCACCGGAUCGAGAACGUUGAGGGGUUCUACUCCGACCACCCCAGCUGGUACCGCACUUACCAAAACUCGAUUUUCCCUACUUUGCAGGCACCGACCCUACUUCAUGGGUGAGAAAAUACAUUAAGCUUUUUACCAUUCAUCAAAUCCCUCCUAACCAACAAUUAGAGGUAGCAGCUCUGUUCUUGGAGGGUAGAGCUGAUAUUUGGUACUAGGGAUGGUUAGUAGAACAUCCAAACUUGCAAUGGGAAGUGCUAGGGUUUAGGGUUGAAGAGGUUUGGUGACCCCUCUUGUGUUAAUGUGGUGGGAUGUUUCAAUAAACUGAAACAAGCUGGCUUAGUAUUGGAGUACUAGGAGAAGUUUGAGAAUUUAAGAUCCAGAAUACUCAAGCUAAACCCUACAUUAACAAAACCCUAUUUGUGCAAAGUUUUAUUAGUGGUUUGGAUGAAGAAGUGCAUCCUGUUUUACUUAUGCUGAAACUAGUAGAAGUCACGGAUGCCUUCCUGCAAGCAAGAAUGCAAGAGGCUUCCAUUGAGGCAAGAAGGAAGAAGUUCUGUUCCACUUCAAAGUGGAACUCAAGAGAAAACUCUAUUAAACGAAAGGCAGGAAAGCAACCUUUGCUGAUACUAGUUGGUACUAGAGCUAGCCAUAUGUUCUUAAGUCAGAAGUAUGCUGUGGAGCUCAGGCUAGAAUUGUAAGCAACAAUACUAAUGAGAGUUAAAAUGGCCAAUGGGGACCUCUUGCUAAGCACUAAAGAAUGCCAAGGGUUUACUUGGAUGAUGCAAGGGGAGAAAUUAAAUUUUAAUGUAAGGAUACUGCCUUUGAAGAGAAUGAUCUGAUCUUGGGAUUCAACUGGCUGAAAACAGUUAGCCCUAUUCAGAUGGACUUUGAGAAGCUUAAUUUCGCAUUUGAAUGGGAAGGUAAACCUCUAGUGCUACAAGGGACAAUAGAGGCAAGCCAGUGUGAAUCCAUGAGUGGAGAAGAGCUCUAUAGAAGCGUAAUGAAGGGUUAAGUGUCUAGUCUGAUUGGCUACAUCUUACAAGUGGAGGAGACCACUAUGGAAACUCCCAUUCCUGCAGAAAUGCUAUCCAUACUAAAGGAGUACAACGAUGUCUUUGAGGUACCAAACUCCCUCUCUCCUACUAGAGGGUAUGAUCAUAUUAUUCCAUUGGAACCUAAUGUAAAGCUAGUCGACUCGAGACCCUAUAGAUACACCCCUGCCCAAAAGGAUGAAACUGAGAAAUAGGUCAGGGAUAUGAUGAAGAACCAUAUCGUUCCAGAGAGCUACAGUCCUUUUGCUUCACUUGUGCUCUUGGUCAAAAGGAAGGAUGGAGGUUAGAGGUUUUGUGUAGAUUACAGGCAGCUCAACAAGCUUACCAAAGUGGAUUUAAGGGCUAGUUACCAUCAAAUCAUAAUGGAGCUGACAGAUCAACACAAGACAUCUUUUAGAACGUAUCAUGGACACUUUGAGUUUAGAGUGAUGCCAUUUUGCUUACCAAUUCUCCAGCAACCUUCCAGGCACUGAUGAACAAGGUAUUGGCACCUUAUUUGAGGAAGUUUGUAUUAGUGUUCUUUGAUGAUAUCUUCAUUUACAAUCAUGAUCUAGAAACUCAUCAAGAACACAUCAGGAAGACACUACAUGUACUGAGGACUCACCAACUUUAUGUUAAGCUAUCGAAGUGCUCAUUUGCAUAGACCAGUGUGGCGAAUUUGGGACACGUAAUCAGUAGAGAAGGGGUGGCCAUAGAUCCAGAAAGUGAAAGUUAUGGCUGAGUGGCCCAUUCCCACCAAUCUAAAGGGACUCAGAGGGUUCCUAGGCCUUAUUAGCUACUAUAGGAAAUUUGUUGAAGGGUAUGAAGUAAUCAGUAAGCCUCUCACUGAUCUACUCGAGAAAGAUGGUUUCAUUUGGACUGAUAAGGCAACUCAAGCUUUCAACAAUUGAAAGCUUGCAUGACUAAAGCUCCUGUUUUGGCUCUACCAAAAUUUUAGCUAUGACUCACACUGGAAUGGAUGCUUCUGGGAUCAGAAUUAGAGCUGUAUUGACUCAAUAGGGGAGGCCAAUAACAUAUAUAAGUCAUGCCCUGAGUGCUAGGAACCAAGGGCUUUCUGCCUAUGAAAAGGAAUACAUAUAUGUCUUAUUUGUAGUGAACAAAUGGACGCAUUAUUUGGAGGGAAGGCCUUUCAUCAUUCUCACGGAUCAUGAAAGCCUUAAACAUUUUCUUGAGCAGAAGAUCCACACCAACAUACAAAAGAAAGGCUUGGUAAAGCUGCUAGGGUUGGAUUUUCAAAUUACGUAUAGGCAAGGAAGGCUUAACAAGGCAGUUGAUGCCCAGUCUAGAAAAUAUGAAGAGCUAAGUUGUGACACCAUAUCAACAGCCUUACCUGACCAGAUGCUCAGCAUUAAAGAGGGUUUUGUUGGUGAUGUUGAGGUUCAAAACCUGAUAAUUGGAAGUGAUGUUACCAACGGGGGGACCUCAGCACUACUCUUAUGCAGAAGGGGUGCUAAGGUAUAAGGGCCUAAUAUAUGUUGGCAGUAGCGGAACACUCAGAGACUAGCUGCUAACCUUUUUUCAUGCUUCACUGAUUGGAGGAAUUCUAGAGACCAAUCCACUUAUCAACAUGUCAAAAGGUACUUUGAUUGGCCAAGAAUGAAAGCUAUGGCGAUGGACUAUGUAGCAAAGUGUGCUAUAUGUCAGCAAUGCAAAGCAGAAUAUUUUCCUUAUCCUGGACUGGUGUAACCAUUGCCUAUCCCAUAUCAAGCAUGGAAGCACAUAUCUAUGGAUUUCAUAGAAAGAUUACCAAAAUCAGGAACUAAGUAGGCCAUCCUGGUAGUGGUAGACAUGCUUACUAAGUAUGGUCAUUUCCUUUCACUGCCUCACCCCUACACAGCUGUGACAGUAGCUCAAUUGUUUAUGGAAAACGUUUUUAAACUCCAUGGGAUGCCUACCACUAUUGUAUCUCACAGGGAUACCAUAUUCACAAGAACAUUUUGGAAAGAGAUGUUCAGACUGCAGGGAGCAAAGCUUCUCUACUCCACUGCCUACCAUCCCCAAACAGAUGGUCAAAUAGUGAGGCUUAAUAGAUGUCUGGAAGAUUAUCUAAACUGUAUGGUUUAAGGAGCUCCUGGAAAAUGGCAACAGUGGCUCCCUUUGGCGGAGUGGUGGUAUAAUACCAAUUUCCACUCCAGUUUGAGGCUCACCCCUUUCGAAGCCUUGUAUGGUUACCCUCCUUUAGUGUUUGAUCUGCAGAAUCCCAUUCCACCUCGAUUGCUGCAAUAGAGGAAAAACUCCAGCACUAGCAUAAGAUCAUUGAUCAACUCAGGGAUAGUCUUGCAAGGGCAUAGAACCACCAGAAGCAGCAAGUGGAUAAACACCGAUCAGAGAGCAGUUUCCAGGUGGGAGAUCAAGUGUAUCUGAAGAUGCACCCCUAUAAAUAGAAGUUAGUAGCGCAAAGGAAGAAUAUCAAGUUGUCGCCCCAUUUUGUGGGCCAUUAGCAGCGGUCAAGAAGGUGGGAGAAGUGGCUUAUGAGCUACAGUUACAGAUUCUACAAGUAUACAUCCUGUUUUCCACAUAUCAUUGUUGAAGAAAGCAGUUGGGGAUACAGUUGCAGUUAAUCCUAAUCUACUUGAGUUGGAUGGAAAUGGAGUGAUGAAGCAACUUCCAAUAGCUAUAUUGGCUAGAAGAUUCAUCAAUAAGAGGAACAAGCCUGUCAUUGAAGUGUUGGUAUAGUGGGAAAUCAAAGUGAAGCUGAUGCUAGCUAGGAAGAUUGGCAUCCAUUCAAAGAGAAAUUUCCAGAAUUCAAGGAUACCUAAAACUCCUUGAGACAAGUUGGAUUUUACAAUUAGGGAUUGUAACGAUUUAGACCUUGUUAUUGCUUUUUGUAAGUUUAGUGACUACACAGUUAAUUUUACCUAAAGCAUGAAACUUCCCCUUUCCAGCCGUUAUGUUAUCAUUAUUAUUGUAGCCGGAAACUGUCCUUGCUCUGCAAUGUUAUUUAGCUGCAGCUGCCUUUGGGGAACAUCAAUUAAUGAACUACCAUCCAAUCUUUGCUUGAAUAUCUCUCCCUCUCAACUCUUCCUCUUCCUCUCCUCUAUCUCUCUACCUAACCCUCUUUUCUUUUCUCUUCGAUUAAAUCUAUCUUGCCGGAACCUUACUAGGGACAUUACAAGUGGUAAUCAAAUCCAGGUUUUGGCAUAUACUAUGACAUAGAAAAACGAUACUUAAUCCACAGCUCUGGAGGAGCAACUUGUUAACCUAAAAAAUAUUCAACAGACCAACCACACAAAUCUCGAAGGAAUGGUAGACCGUAAUGGUACUACAUUGGAAGCAUUGUAGACUAGCAACCCUGCGUUAUAAGCCUCAAACCAGCGCUUGGAACAGAUGUUCCAGAGGUUCAUAGAAAGGAAUCAGGAGGACCCGCCAGAUUAAGAACGUCGAGGGGUUCUACUCCGACCAUACCAGCUGGUAGCACACUUACCAAACCUCGAUUUUCCCUACUUUUCAAAUGGACUAUUCUCUUUACCAUUCAUGAAAUCCCUCCUUCAUGGGUAAGAAAAUGGACUACGCUCUUUACCAUCAUGAAAUCCCUCCUAACCAACAAGUAGAGGUAUCAGCUUUGUUCCUAGAUGGUAGAGAAAAUAUUUGGUAUCAGGGAUGGCCAGCUGAAUGUUCAUACCUACAAUGGGAACGCCCAAACUUACAGUGAGAAUCCUACUGGGGACAUUAUAGUUUUCCUCUCUAAUCUCCUCCCUAUGGCGAUCUUCGCUGCCCAAGCUCCAAUUUUGCUUCCCCUCGAUCGAUCGGAAACUAGAUAACUACCCUUCUUGGCAGCAAAACAACAACGAAAAGAGACUCUCCCCUUCCAUUCACAUCUCUGCCCAGCUCGAUUUAUGUCAUAUGUGGUAACUAGACCUCUCUCCCAUUUGAUGGUAACGAGGCCCAUCAUAACCAUCUGGUCCAUCUGACGGCCCAAGGCCCACCUCGUCACCACAACUUUGACAUGACACAAAGCCCAUAACUUCAGUCCAGGUCCAAUUAAAGUGGCAACCUUCAUCUCAAACCGGAACCAAUUAAGGCUCAUCCUCAUCGUUGGAUUCAUCCGAUGGCCCAGAUAUCUCCAACCUUAAAAUUAUCAAUUCAAAGAGUUAACUUCUAUUCUGAUUGUCUUAGUCAACACGAUACUAAUCCUGAGCCUUGCAAGCCUUUAAUACUUGGUCAACUCCUCAAAUUAAUUAAAUUAAUUCAGUUUUCCAACUACCAACUUCUAUCUAUGAAGUAAGAUUUUAAUCAAACGAAAAUUUAAACCGAACCAGAAUUCAGGGUGUGAUAACUAUCCCCUCCUAUAAAAGGUUUUGUCCCGAAACCUAAACCUCACCCCACUGGGUGGAAAGAUUUGGCGCAACAGAGUUCAACCCUAGCCCUUACACCCUUACUUGGUAGUAAAACGAUCCUGACGUGUUGUCCUUCUCAAGGACUCAACCAUUCCACUCCUCGGAAAUGACCCAAGGUCAAAUCACAACCUUAUCCUAGUGGAUCGAUGGUGGUCGACCCCUCAACAUGCCUAACCAUAGCUUAUACCCCUAAAGAGAAACCUAGAGCUAAUUCCUUGCUUCCCAAAACUCCUUCAAGCUCGAAACUAAGAAUCUGCUCUCGACCGAGCCUAAAGUCCCAAACUAAGUUGGACACGCUUUGCUAACUUAAACUUAUCCAUCUUGCCUUAGAAAAUCAUCGACCCUUCUCGACAUAGAGCCGACCCCUCAAGCUCGCUACCCAUCGAGCACCACUACCUGGAAGCCUCCUCAGAAGCCACUAAACGACCAAGGUCAAAGCCUCAUUUUCAUUGUUCCAGGUCCAUCUCACAACUGAGUCAUCCCAUGAUCCACUGUGUACAUCCUUUAGUAGUCUCCACGAGACCAAAUUUCAAAUACGGACAACACCUUAUCUGCAUGCCUGAUCGUGUGCUCUACCUAUCUCACUCCAUUACUGUCCAUCUGUGGCUAGCACACUCAUCAAUCGUGGCCAACAUAGCACCAAACUUGUGGUCUUUCCAUCCGACCAAGAUCUAAUGGCUCAUCAUAACCAUUUGAUUCAUAUGACGGCCCAAGGCACACCUCGUCACCACAACUUUAACUAGACACAAAGCCCACAACAUAAGUCCAGGUCCAAUUAAAAUGUCAGCUUUCAUCUCAAACUUGAGACAAUCAAGGCUCAUCCUCAUCGUUGGAUUCAUCUGACAGCCCAUAUAUAUCAAUGCUUAAAAUAUCAAUUCAAACAAUUAACUUCUAUUCCGAUUGACUUAGUCAACACGAUACUAAUCCCGAGGCAUGCAAGCCUUUACUACUUGGUCAACUGCUGAGUCAACUGCUAGAAUUAAUUAUAUUAAUUCGGUUUUCCAACUCCCGACUUCUAUCUAUCGAGUAAGAUUUUAAUCAAACCAAAAUUUAAAAUGAACUGGAAUUCACGGUGUCACAUAUAUACUCGAUUAAUUUGAAGUACGAAUAUAUAUUUUCUUUGUAACACGUUUGAUUGGUUAGUUUUUUAUUAGAAAAACACAUGUUUGGUUCAUUUUAAUUCUUUUUAUGAAUUAUGAAUUAAUAUUCCAUAAAAUACCCAUGAACUUGUACGAAAGAGAGCAGUUUAUAAUAUAGGAUAUUUAGUUACAAGAUGUCCUAGACAGAGAUAACAGAUCAAACUCAUGGCUACAAUUUGUCAUGCAAAAAAAUGGGGUAAAAAUGUCCAACAAAAAAAACUAAAAAACGCACUACUAAAAAAUGUCCAACAAAAAACUAAAAAAUGGGGUAAAAAUAGCUACAAUUUCCUCAUUAUCACUAGGUCCAUCUCCUCCAUUCCUUCCUCCGCCUUAGUCAUUGUCGUCAUUAAAUUUACUUUCAUCUUUCUCUUCUUCUUUGACUAAUUUAUCAUCUUUUUCUUCUUCUUCUUCUUCACUCUCACUAGCUUACUUGUAAUCAUAUUCUUUAAGAUCAAUAUGGUCAGCAUCUUUUUCUUCUUUCUCAGCAACAAGUUUGUCUCCUCCAUCAUCUUUCUUCCCUUCUGUUUUUGAUAUUGCAGAUUCUCGUUCAACUUCUUCAGGGACAGUGUUGGCU